rnacentral:rRNA from 1 species
AUGUGUCAACAUGUGACAUGUCUUGACUGCUGUACCUGUGCUGGUGUGUGGCGACGAUUUAUAUUUUUCACAUCAAGUUCAUGCCAUCGAGACUAUGAACUGAAUAGGUACAUGGGUUUUGCGUUGGAGCUGCAGGUUGUGUGGAGUUUGUGCCUUGCUUGUAAGGAUAUCUUUGCUCUCAGGAAUAAAAAGGAUCUUCACACCCCACAUGAUCUAUUGUUCUUUGUUGUCAUUGACUGGGCCUUGGCGACUCUCAUGUUCUCAGGAGCCUGUGCCUCCGCGAGCCUCACAAUUUUCUUCAUGUGGGAUGUGAACCUCUGCGGGGCAUACUCACGUCUGGCCUGCCGGCAGUUCGCGCUUUCGGUCACCCUGGCGUUCAUGACGUGGGUGUUGCAAGCUGCAUCAUCUUUCUCUGGGUUGUGGCUACUGGUUUCAUUCUUCUAG